UGUAUUAAACACAAAAUGAUCGUAUUAUUCCUUUACAUUAGUUUUAACUCUGUCCUGGUUUCAGGUUCCUCUUUCAGUGAUAACGUCCAUCAGACUCCAGCUGACAUGUAUAAAAGUCCUGGAGGAGAAGCUAAAAUCAACUGUUCACACAGUAUAAACAGCUACAAUAGAAUCCUCUGGUACAAACAGUCAAAAGGACAAAUGCAGUUCCUGGGAUACAUGUUUCUAGGCAAAGGAAACUCAGAGAAUGAAACCGUUGUGAAGAUAGACGGGGGUGCAGAUAAAGACCAGAACUGCACAUUAACAAUUAAAGACCUGGAUGUGAACAGCAGUGCAGUGUACUUCUGUACUGCUAGAACCUAGGAAUACGAAGCUUAUUUCGGCCAGGGAACUAAACUGACUGUUCUAGAUCCAAAAUUUAAGGUCACCGCACCACGAGUAAAAAUACUGAAGCCGUCAUCAAAGGAGUGCAAAAACUCAAAAGAUGAGUUCAGGAAGAAGACCCUCGUUUGUGUGGCUGAUGAAUUCUACCCAGACCACGUCACUGUGUCCUGGCAGAUCAAUGGGGUCAAUGCCAAAUACGGCGUGGCGACGGACAACAACGCUGAGAGGGAUGGCGAGAACUACAGAAUCACCAGCAGGCUGAAGGUCCACGCUGAUGAAUGGCAAAACCCGGAGAAUGUAUUUGCGUGCUUUGUCAACUUCUAUGAUGGAACAGAUUACACCCUUUAUAAUGAUACAGUUAAGGGUGAAGGAGUAACAGGCAACGAAAAAACAAGAGGGAACUUUCUGGCCACCUCUCAGAACGGCAAACUCUGCUACGUGGUCUUCAUCGCCAAGAGCUGCAUCUACGGAGCCUUUGUCACGUUCCUCGUGUGGAAGAUUCAGGACGGGAAGAAGAACCGCUGAGAGCUAAGCUGAGUCACUGUGCUUUCUGUAAAUAAGAUUAGGGAAAAAAUACUUCUA